rnacentral:rRNA from 1 species
AUUGAACGCUGGCGGCAUGCUUUACACAUGCAAGUCGAACGGUAACAGGCCGCAAGGUGCUGACGAGUGGCGAACGGGUGAGUAAUGCAUCGGAACGUGCCCAGUCCUUGGGGAUAGCUACUCGUAAGAGUAGCUAAUACCGCAUACGAUCUAUGGAUGAAAGCGGGGGACCGUAAGGCAUCGCUCCGUUGGAUCGGCCUAUGCCAGGUGAGUUAGUUGGUGGGGUAAAGGCUCACCAUGCCCACGAUCUGUAGCGGGUCUCAGAGGCCGACCGGCCACACUGGGGCUGGAACACGGACCAGAGGACUACGGGAGGCAGCAGAGGGGAAUGGUGGACAAUGGGCGGAAGCCUGAUCCAGCAAGGCCGCGUGCAAGAAGGAGGCCUUCGGUUUGUAAACUGCGUUUUUACGGAGCAAAACGGCUUUGGUUAAUACCCGGCGCUAAUGACGGUACCGGAAGAAUAAGCACCGGCUAACUACGUG